GCUGGAGACUCUGCAGUCAUUUCUCGGGGCACUGCCUUGGAGAUCCAAUGGGGGCACAACUCACCAGGAGUGUCCCCUGCCAAGCUCCAUUGAGAUGAAUGGGGAAUGAGCAUUUAAAAUAGUCGACUGGGUAUCUACAAUCAAAUGAAGAAGGGAACAGUAAGAAGUAUUUGGCCAAGAGAGAUAAGGGGGUAUCUCAUUUUCACAAAUCCUCAAGCCCCCACUUAAAGUCUUCCUGUUCCAAAGGCACUGAAUCCGCCUCCCCUCAAGGGUUAUUUGAGUCAUCCGACCUAUGAAAGAAGGAGUAUGGAAGAAAUUCACGUGUGAUGGU